UACGUAGGGACCAAGCGUUGUUCGGAUUUACUGGGCGUAAAGCGAGUGUAGGUGGUUGUCGUAGUCAGGCGUGAAAGCCUUGAGCUCAACUCAAGAAAUGCGCUUGAUACUGGGCAGCUAGAGGACCGGAGAGGAUAGUGGAAUUCCCAGUGUAGUGGUGAAAUACGUAGAGAUUGGGAAGAACACCAGUGGCGAAGGCGGCUAUCUGGACGGUUUCUGACACUAAGACUCGAAAGCGUGGGGAGCAAACAGG
rnacentral:rRNA from 1 species